CAUGCAGAAAGCAGAUUUAGUCCACACAAUGCACGCCGGGAGGUCAGCAGCUUCAAUUGGGCCGGACAACAACAAACCCUUCAUUGGAAUGGAACCAUACUAGCUAAAGCAAAAGUACCUCCACUCUGGAAAAACUCGAUUAGGAGCUUGUGUGAACAAAGUCCAGGUCCGUCGUACACAGACUUACUGCCACAGGCCUCUGUGGGUCAAAAGUGGAAGAUUACAACAACAAUGAACGCACGAGGGAAUAGAUCCUCUCAGUCUCUCUGUCUCCAUCUACGUCCAGCUGGAUAUUGGCAGGGAGGCCGCUAGAAACAGAUGCGCACAGGAAUGUGAGAGUGAAAAACACUGAUAAAGACCACCCAAGAGGAUUUUUUUUGACAACACCACACACCCGGUGCAGGGCGUACAGCCAGGCGCUGCAUCAGCAGAGAGCUUGCAACAGAGCCAGUGGCCGUUGAGGUAGGCUGAAGGAUGAUAGGUGCUAAGACGCUUGCGGUUGCAUUGGCUGACUUUGGUUAAGAUGUCGAUCCAGUCUCGCGCCUCAACACAGUUAUUGGCUUGGAUGUAGAGUGCCCUCUCUGGCUGGAUCACCUGGAACAUCUGGAGAGAGAGGAAUACACAGAACAACACAGUGAAACCAUGAGUCAUUUAAAACCUUUCCUGAAAUCUGUAAAAUGAUUUUUUUUUUCUUAAGCCCUUACAUUUUUCAUCUUGAAUGACUCCUCCUCCAACCUUUCCACAGCCAGAAUGUUCUCUAUGGGAAUGCUGCACAAAGCUCCCUCUCCUGGAGGUAAGAAGUAAUGUAUUAAUAGAGGUAACCAAUGAUUACCUGCAGGUGACACAUUGAUAGUGUCCUUUGAACAUGUGUUUUUAAGUUAGUAACCACACAUUUAUUCAUCAAUGAGAUAUGCAGACAGAAUUUCUGUUACAUAAUGCUAUACUGUUCUGACCAUUAUCCAUUAUAGUCUUUUACAAUUCAAGUCUUUUCAGAAAAGAAUGGUGCUCAGGUGAUGACAAAACUCAAAUUUGCCACUAGCUCUCUAUUUACUUUUUUAAAAAUUGUAUCAGUUAACGGCAGGCAAUGUAGAACAUAAAUGUAUGUUAAUUAAAUCGUGUGAAAAAUUACAGAAACUGAGAAAAUGUUUUCUUUUUUUUCAAGUCUUCCUUUGACUUUGUACAGUGGUAUGCAAAAGGUAUCUGAACCUGUUGGAAUUUGUCACAUUUCAGCAUAAAAUCCCCAUCAAAUGUGAUC